CAUAUAUAUAAUAAAUACUUAAUUUAAUUUAAUGCUUAAUUAACUAACUAAGUAAAUGCUAAGAAAUACACUUGAAUAUAAAAUGUGCUACGAUUGGUAUACGAUUAAUAUUUCUGAACUUCUAAUGCGCUCUCUUAUUACAAAACUCCCCCAUUAUAAACUAUAAGUAUUUAACUAAAUUAAUGUUGAGCCGACCGCAGCUUGAAUUCCAUCUGAAAAUAAAUAUUUUGUUUUGCACCUUUGCGUUUUGCCAGAGCGUUUUAGCCAGUUUACUUAACAGGAGGCCCUUGGGACUGCAUGUGUAAUCGAUAAUGCUAAGAAGCCUAACAAUAUUUUCGGCCAAUUAUUGACGGACGUAUCGCUGACGAGUCAAAUUUGUGUGUAGAACGGCACUUGGCCCCAAGAAAUAGGCAACAACAAACAAAAGCGCAUUACGUCAUCAGCAUUAAAUAAAACAACCUUAUAAACUUUAUAAGCAGCACAACAGCACAUUUGAAAAGCGACAUCUUCCCAUAACAACAAUUAAACAUAUGGAUAAAGAAUUUUCCAAAACAGAAUAAAUAAAUAUUUGACAUUGACGCGAUUGAAGCUAUUGCCUAUUACAGAAAGUGCGAGGGAGAAGGGGAAGCAGUAAAACAUUUAAAAAGCGAAAAUGAAUUAAAAGUGUGCACAGGCAGGCACACGCCCAAAAAUGGCUUAAAAAGCAAACGACUUUUGACCAAAAGCGGCCACACAAUUUGGACAAGGCAGGCAACAACCGGUGGACAAGACAGGGUGGCCAUAUUUGUAUGAUGUACACUUAUAAACAUCACUGACAAAAGUGAGGCUUAGAACACACGACAAACACUCGUUAAAAUAUCGUGUGAUUAUGAAUUGGAACCAAAUGUAUGUAGAUAUGUACAUAUCAUGCCGCCGACACCGCCGCCACCCGCUCGCUCGGCUUACGUCAUCGUCCAAACAAACAGCGGGCAGCAUACAAAACACACACACUCACACACACACAUGUGUGAGCUUAACGAUAAAAAGCAUUUCAAAUAGGGGGCGGCGGGGUUGGGGGCCUCGCUGGAGCCGCGUAGCUUUCCAAGCACACACGAAAGUCAAAUAACAAAACCGUUGAUGAAGCAGCAGCUAUAACAAAAAUAAAGACCAACAAGCACAAGCAAGAAAAAAAAAACACACGCACACACACAAAAAACAAAAAUUGUGCUUGAGCUUGAGUUUCGUUUUUCGUUUAAAAAUAGCGGGAGUCGCCGCUUGGGGCAGACUCCAAUCUGCUGUGUGUGUGUGUGUUGAGAGAAAAAGAAGUAAGCAAAAUAUUUUUGCUCUUUUGCUUUUGAACUCAUUAACAAAAAUGUAUUGAAGAUUAAAAGGCAGGCCCAAAAGUUAAGUUAAAGGCCACAGCCAAGGAACCAGUUUAGGUUUUAGUGUGUUGUGGAAUUUAUGAAAAAUUACCGGCAAAAUGCAACAAUUUUAAGACAAAUAAAUAAUAACAAAGUAGUAAAGGCCAUGAGUAAGAAAUUGUACAAAAAAUUGUUAACAGCUUAGUCACAAACACACCACACACACCUUUGAAUAUAAAUUUUAUGUUUUUCACAUUUUGUAUUGUCAUGGCAACAAAAAUAAAACAACUGAAACAAAAGACAGUCGGCUACGUUUGAGUGCGUAGGGUGUGUUUUAAAUGUUUUUAUGUGAUGCAUUUUUAAUUAUGAACUAAGAUACAUAAUUCAUAUAAACACUUUAAUCUUGUGUUAAGCAGUAGCGGCGCUCUCUCAAGCAGAAAUAGAGCGCGCAAGACUCUCAGCUAAGUUAUGGUGUUCUAAUCUCUUAAAUUUUGAAAUUACACACACACACACACACACAUUGAAGACUCGAGUGAGAGCAAAACGCACACAAAUCAAAACCAAUUUGUCACAAUAUGAAGGCAUUGAAAUUAUCAGUGUUUGAUUGCAUGACAGACAUGUGCUAACUGCUGGGGGGUGGGGCGAUAAAGAGGGGGUGGGGGCAGAGGAUGUGAUGAAAACGUUGACUGGACUGGGCCACGCAAAUGACAUUGAAAGCAUUGUCUAAAACACAAAAUAGUAAACAAUGAGGCACAUUAUUUAUUGUUUUAAGCUUUUGUCUAAAUAGUGAGGGUUGGAACUAAAUGUCAAUCACACAUAACAACGAAAAUCGUGGAAAAAUGCAAGCGAAAUAAUUUUAAACUAACGGCGCAGACCAUUUGUACUACGGUAUGGAAUAUAAAAUGUAUUUAGAGACUUGUUAGCAGUGGGCCCUGCACUUCAACUUUGGCUCCCCUUCAAGCACUGAGCGUAAAAUGACGUCAACAAUGAAUGUUGUCAUAGCGAGUAAACUCUGAUUUCACACACACGCACACAUACAAAUGUUGAGGCCCUACACAUUUCUCGAGCUCGCACAAUUGUCUAAUUAGAAUCGAAUUAAGCACACAUCAAAUGUAAUGGUGGUGGGUUAAGGCUUACGCCAAAAAUGAACAACAAGAACAACAAAAGAAAAACCAUUUAUUGAUGGCCCUGGCGUAAAAA